CAAUAAAUUUAUUUUAAAAAAACCUAUUCAAAAAUUUUUUUUAAAAAAAUCAAGUUUUAAUUUUUAACAAAUAAAAUGGAAAUUGAAGUAAAGAUUCGGAUACCCAAUUCAAAAUCUUGCAAAACCCUGAUCUCACUUUUGUCUCCUUUCCAUUUAAGAACACAUAACCAGCACAACAAUUUCUUUGACGGCGCCGCUGGUGAGCUUUCCGGCAGCCGUGCCGUCCUCCGUAUCAGAUUUUACAAUGACCCAGAAAACCCAAAAUGUGUUAUUAGUCUUAAAGCUAAAGCAAUACUUGAAAACGGUGUGAGUAGAGUUGAAGAAGAUGAAGAGGAAAUCGACCCGGAAAUCGGUCGAAAAUGCGUGUCUGACCCGACCCGGUUGAAAGAUUUAGUUGGGUCAUCAAGAAUUAUGACAAGGGUUAAAGAUGAGUUUUUUGGUAAUGGGGAUGAGUUAGGGUUUGUGGGGUUAGGUGGGUUUAAGAAUUUGAGAAAUGUGUAUGAAUGGAAAGGAUUGAUGAUCGAAUUAGACGAAACGAGUUUCGAAUUCGGGACAUUGUAUGAGAUUGAAUGUGAGAGUAGUGAACCUGAGAAAGCUAAGGGAUUGAUUGAAGAGUUCUUGAAGGAGAAUGGUGUUGAAUAUUCGUAUUCGGUUGCUUCUAAGUUUGCCAUUUUUCGAUCCGGAAAGUUGCCUUAACACUCACACAUGUGAAAUGCUAUUCUUGGUGGGUAGCAAUCAUAUAAUCGAUGUAGCUUGUUUCACAAGGUUUGGCAAAUGGAACUCGAAAGGAAGUAACGUGUAGCAACUAGCAAUAAUUCCAAGUAUGCUACAUGCUUUGUAGUUUGUAUGAAUGGCUCCAAACCAUGUUAUUGCAUCUUGAAGCAAAAUUAAGUUGCUCCAUUUUUAUUUUUAUUUUGUAUAGCAUUAAUGACCACAUGUCCGAUACAUUGUACUGAACCAUCAUGUGGUUUUAAUGCUUGAUUGGUCUUUGUUCCUUUUC